GACAUGUGGUUAGGAGUGGGCCACUGAAAGGUCCGGCCCCUUCCACAUUCUGGUGAACCCAAAGCUCUGGAUGUGCUUGUCCAGAAUUUUCUGACAUGGGGCGACCGAGUUUGGAGUAGAGGCUGCUCUAUGCCUUGGCCAGUAGGAGUCACUGUCCACUGUCUAAUGCACAGGAGGAUCUUCUGGCUGUUGGAGAAACUGGCAGGAGAAACAGGGAGUAGGAAGAAGAGGGGAUCAGCAGAUACUCCUUACUCUGAAAUCAGUGGAUGAAGAUAUCUGCAGGGCAACAGAUCAAUAAAGCAAGACUUGAACUCUAUUCAGUUGGCCAGAGAGACUGAUCAGACCAAAUCUUCAGAACACAAUUCUAGAAACUACACAGUCACCUGCUCAUCUCAUCACAUCUACUCUGCUUCCCCAGAGGGGACUCUAUCUGCUGAUUCAGGGCUAGCAGGGAUGAGAACAGGUAACCAUACAGUAGUUAUGGGUGAUUUCUUUGACCACAGGAGAGACGUACAGAAUUUUAGAAUUUGGCCAGUUUCCACAACCACAACUAUAAAAAAAAAAGAGAGACUAAUAUUACCAAAGUCAACAGUCCCCUGCAUUUAUGCUGUGUCCUGGGGGCACUGUGAACUGGCCCACAG